rnacentral:rRNA from 1 species
GGUUUAAUUCGAAGCAACGCGAAGAACCUUACCUGAUCUUGACAUCCCGAUGACCGCUUCGUAAUGGAAGUUUUUCUUCGGAACAUCGGUGACAGGUGGUGCAUGGUUGUCGUCAGCUCGUGUCGUGAGAUGUUGGGUUAAGUCCCGCAACGAGCGCAACCCCUAUCUUCAGUAGCCAGCAGGUUAAGCUGGGCACUCUGGAGAGACUGCCAGGGAUAACCUGGAGGAAGGUGGGAUGAC